GCCGAAAUAGCUCAGUUGGGAGAGCGUUAGACUGAAGAUAUAAAGGUCCCUGGUUCGAUUCUGGGUUUCGGCA